AAAACGUGUUUCGGAAUCCUAAUUUCGACAAAAGCCCCACACAAUAGAAAACACACCCUCAAAAGUUCAUCUUUUAAGUUAGCUUCCAAUCCAAGGCAUCAAAGUACUCCAGACACAUACAGGAUAUUACAAAUAACCACAAAAUACAUGUCUCACAUUGUUAAAUGGCUUAUAUUCAAGAAGAGAAAAGGAACUCUUUAGAAAUAGGCACUACUUUCGAAUGGACCACGGAGGGAUACACAAUGAUUUAGUGUAAUGUAACCUUUAAGGGAACUCAACUUUGUCCUAUCUUUUUCAAACUUUCUCCACAUGAGAUUUCAACUAUUUCCACAAUGAAUAUGCAAUUUCAGUGCAUUCGGAUGGGGGUAAAGGCCUUAAAAUGGCCAUUUAAAGCGGUGACUAAAUUGGCCGCAGUCAAGUCGGAAUGCAUGAUUUUUAGUCUAAGUGACGACAGCUGAUUUUGCGUCUCCAAUUAUUGUUACGCGUAACUUUCAUGGCAAAAACUGGUAUCAUUGCAUGCGAAAUUCACCAAUAUAUCAGCAAAAGGCCCAAAUAAAUGUAUUGAUUGUGAAUCAGUGUACUUUUCUUGAUGAAAUAGGAGACUUUUUUUUAAAUUUUAAGCACUUUUUUCAAUAAAAAACUCACUGACAGCAUAUAAAAUCAUGUUUUUUAAGAAAAUUAUUAUUAAAAGCUUCACUUACAAUCUAAACAUACACAUUGCAAUUACAAAAAUUAAUGCUAUUAUGAUGAGAGGCAUAAUUUUCAGCUUUCAAGCUGAUACAAGCCGGCUACCCAAAAUUAACACUUAAAAAGGCGCAAAUCGCUCCUUCAACAGCUUACGACACAAAGUGACACUUAAUGCGCAUCCAGAUAGUCUCUCUCAUAUAAAUAAGUCCUGUUAGCGACAUUUUAUUAAGUAUUCUCUUUAAAAUCCAGUGUUGAAAGCGUAA